rnacentral:rRNA from 1 species
UACGAAGGGUGCAAGCGUUACUCGGAAUUACUGGGCGUAAAGCGUGCGUAGGUGGUUUGUUAAGUCUGAUGUGAAAGCCCUGGGCUCAACCUGGGAAUUGCAUUGGAUACUGGCAGGCUAGAGUGCGGUAGAGGAUGGCGGAAUUCCCGGUGUAGCAGUGAAAUGCGUAGAGAUCGGGAGGAACACCAGUGGCGAAGGCGGCGACCUGGGCCAAUACUGACGCUGAGGUGCGAAAGCGUGGGGAGCAAACAGG